AUGCGCCUGGUGUGCAGACUCCCUGAAGCACCCUCCUCUCUUGCAGCCUCCACCACGGCCCCCUCGGUCUUCCCACUGGCCCCCAGCUGCGGGUCCCAAUCCGGCUCCACGGUGGCCCUGGCCUGCCUGGUGUCAGGCUACUUCCCCGAGCCUGUAACCGUGUCCUGGAAUUCCGGCUCCUUGACCAGCGGUGUGCACACCUUCCCGUCCGUCCUGCAGUCCUCAGGGCUCUACUCCCUCAGCAGCAUGGUGACAGUGCCCUCCAGCAGGUGGCCCAGCGAGACCUUCACCUGCAACGUGGCCCACCCGGCCAGCAACACUAAAGUAGACAAGCCAGUGGUCAAACAAUGCGAGUGCAAGUGUAACUGUAACAACUGCCCAUGCCCAGGUUGUGGCCUGCUGGGAGGGCCUUCGGUCUUCAUCUUUCCCCCGAAACCCAAGGACAUCCUCGUGACUGCCCGAACACCCACGGUCACUUGUGUGGUGGUGGAUCUGGACCCAGAAAACCCUGAGGUGCAGAUCAGCUGGUUCGUGGAUAGUAAGCAGGUGCACACAGCCAACACGCAGCCUCGUGAGGAGCAGUUCAACGGCACCUUCCGUGUGGUCAGCGUCCUCCCCAUCGUGCACCAGGACUGGCUUUCAGGGAAGCAGUUCAAGUGCAAAGUCAACAACAAAGCCCUCCCGUCCCCCAGUGAGAAGUUCAUCUCCAAGACCCCAGGGCAGGCCCAUCAGCCUAAUGUAUAUGUCCUGCCACCAUCGCGGGACGAGAUGAGCAAGAACACGGUCACCCUGACCUGCCUGGUCAAAGACUUCUUCCCACCUGAGAUUGAUGUGGAGUGGCAGAGCAAUGGACAGCAGGAGCCCGAGAGGAAGCACCGCAUGACCCCGCCCCAGCUGGACGAGGACGGGUCCUACUUCCUGUACAGCAAGCUCUCUGUGGACAAGAGCCGCUGGCAGCGGGGAGACGCCUUCGUAUGUGCGGUGAUGCACGAAGCUCUACACAACCACUACACACAGAAAUCCCUCUCCCAUUCUCCGGGUAAAUGAGCAACACGCCCGGCACCCAGCAAGCCCCCCACCUUGGCUCUCAGGAUCCCCUGAGGACGCCUGAGCCCCCGCCCCUGUGUACAUAACCCCGGGUAGGCACCCAUCAUGAAAUAAAGCACCCAGCACUGCCCUGGGAC